AAAAAAAAUCAAUAAAAUGAAAAAAAUCUCGUGGUCCAAAGCCAACAAAGGCAUGUGAUGUGAUCAUAUCAUUACCAGACUACGGUGGGAAUCUACUGUGAAGCCUCUUCCCGAGAGACCUUUCCUUUUCUUUGUCCACCCCACCAUUAUUAUUAUUUAUGUCCUCUCUCAAUCUCUUCUUUUCACCAGACCACCGGCUUCAAAUGGGUAUUUCCAUCUAGGGUUUGCUAGCUGGUUUCUCACCCAUAGCACAUGUGGAUGGCUAUAAAAGGAAGUUUUUAGCAGCUGCAACCAGCAAAGAUGGAAGGAACUUGACUUUUCUUUCACAUGUGGCUAGUAGUUUUCUGGAGAUUCGUUUAAGCCUGUAGAACGUGGCUGUCACAGUGGAGGGGAAACUCCGAUGAAGGUAAAGGCAUUGGUUCAGUUUCGAUUUUCAUAUUUGAAUCCGGGUCAGCAACCGAAUUCUAGGGCUCCAUUUGAUUUUCAUUUAGAUUUUACUCUUAUUUUGGGUCUUGGAUUUCUUUUAUAUUAGAUUUUCUUGUAAAGAGACUCAUUCAAACUUCUGAAUCUUUAGUGAUUCCUUAUCCUGCUUGAACUGAAUGAGUUUGAAUGAAAUUAAAAGGUAAAAAAUUUAAUCCAGAUUGAAUUGGAGUUGAACAA